rnacentral:misc_RNA from 1 species
AAGUCGUAACAAGGUUUCCGUAGGUGAACCUGCGGAAGGAUCAUUACUGAAUUUUUCUUUUUUUGUAACAAAAAAAAGAAUUCUUUCAAACACCUGUGAACUUUUUAUAACAUUUUGCCUUGGGGUUUUUUUUUCUUUUUAUUUUAUAAAGAAAAUAACCCCAAAGGAUUUAAUAAAAACACCUUUAUUUUUUAAACGUUAUUGUCUGAAAAAUGAUUAUAUUAAUAAAUCAAAACUUUCAACAACGGAUCUCUUGGUUCUC